rnacentral:rRNA from 1 species
CAGCAGCAGCCGCGGGAAAACAGAGGAUGCAAGCGUUGUUCGGAAUCACUGGGCGUAAAGGGUGCGUAGGCGGGAUCUUAAGUCAGGGGUGAAAUCCCGAGGCUCAACCUCGGAACUGCCUUUGAUACUGGGGUCCUUGAGUCCGGAAGAGGUGAGUGGAACUGCGAGUGUAGAGGUGAAAUUCGUAGAUAUUCGCAAGAACACCAGUGGCGAAGGCGGCUCACUGGACUGGUAUUGGCGCUGAGGUGCGAAAGCGUGGGGAGCAAACAGGAUUAGAUACCCCCGUAGUCCCUGUCUCUUAUAC